AGAAGAGGAUGGAGGUAGACCGACGAGGUACUUUUUGUUUUGUGAGUGAGGACGAUCGAUCGUCGACGGAAGAACACAAGUAUUUGGGAGUGAGGAGGAGGAGUGGGUAGAGGGGGAGACAGGAAGACCAACGUAAAGCUGGUAGCCAGCUCUACCUCUACGUCCGCUUCCGCCGCUCCCCGCCCUUCUCCUCGUCCUGCUCGCCGCCGUGCUGCCGCUGCUCCCAUCACGUCUCCUUCCUCCGUCUCUCCCUCUCCUCCGUCGUGUACUUCCGGGAGACGCGGUUCGAAUGGAGGGAGUAGGGUUUUCUUGUGAAGAGGUUGGGACUAUGCUACUGGGUCGAUUCGUCGGACCUACUCCGACGCAGUAUGUAGUUCUUCGAGUUUCUCUCCCACCUGCUCGACGUUGUAUCCUCCUUGAGACGUGUUCGUUACCGAUGGCGUUCUCCCCGAUCACCACGGAGUUACGGGUGGUAGUGGGGAUGGUGCUCACCACCACGUCCCAGUGGUCUUCCUCUCUUUGUAACCCUCCGUAACCGUGGCCACCACCUCCACGUUGUUGUGCUACUAUGUUCGUACCUACACCACGACCAUACGUCGUUUCUCUCCGGCUAGUACGAGGUGGUCCACUAGUGGUAGGAGCUCCUUCUUCCGCGGCUCCAGCAGUUACGGUUAGUGAGGUAACGACCGGUGUUUUAGAAGAUGUGGUAUGUGAGGGCCCAUACAUGUAUAUAUCCAUAUCGGAAAGUGUAGACGUGUUCUUUUAUGUUGGGUACAACAUUUUAUAAUCCGUGUGUACUCAGGCUCAUAUGCAAAACUGGUAUUGACAAAUGAAAGACACAGGCAUAGAUAAUCUCCCUAAGUGCAAACAAAGAUCACAUGGAUGUGUAUAACUUCAUUUGAUUACCGUAUAUGUGUUCACUUUCUGUGUUUCCCUUGUACUUUCACUACGUAUAUGUGUAUGUACUUUUUAUACCUUGGCAUCUAAGGAGAGAUACAUCCUUCUCUAUUUUAACUCCUUUCGAUCUAUUUCUCAAACUUUUACUGGAAUCUAUAUGUGUACACGGUGUGUGUAAAAUUAAGGAAAGAAAAAGAGAAGGGCCGGGAGGUAGACGAUGUUAAAUUCAGAAUUUAAGUUAGAUGGCACUGACCUUUUUCAGAAAUUAACAUACUAAUUCUUGAAGAAAGGUAGAUUUAUAUUUAUAUUAAACCAUGAUGGAAAAGGUACUUCAAUUGUACCCAAUUAAUCAACGCAGUUAAUUAAAGGAGAGAGAUAGAACACGUCCGGAAGUCGAGCUCUUAACCGUAUCUACAAAGUUCACAAAGGCUUUCUGACUCUCGUAACCAUACUAUCAUUUAAACAAACAUAUUUUAUAUAUAGGGUAUUGAUAUAUAUUUCUCUUUUAGGGCGUAUACCAUGUAUACAGAUCAAUAAUCGAUCUUCUUGCCCUACCCUUGUGGGAAGUCAUCGAUAUAUUGUAGAAGAAGUACAACAAAAGUGUUGUACUAGUUACAUACCUUUUCCUACAACUGACUAGACACUAAAAAGUGACUGAAGACCCGACAGUGCCGAACAACAACCAACGACCUCAUAAAAGUCUUAUUCGAAUAUAAGUACAUAACGAGCUAUAAGACCGAUACACUAACGUACCACGUCUACGAGUUAUAAUAGGGGU
rnacentral:rRNA from 1 species